rnacentral:rRNA from 1 species
GACGAACGCUGGCGGCGUGCCUAAUACAUGCAAGUAGAACGCUGAAGGAGGAGCUUGCUCUUCUGGAUGAGUUGCGAACGGGUGAGUAACGCGUAGGUAACCUGCCUGGUAGCGGGGGAUAACUAUUGGAAACGAUAGCUAAUACCGCAUAACAGUAGAUGUUGCAUGACAUUUGCUUAAAAGGUGCAAUUGCCCCACUACCAGAUGGACCUGCGUUGUAUUAGCUAGUUGGUGGGGUAACGGCUCACCAAGGCGACGAUACAUAGCCGACCUGAGAGGGUGAUCGGCCACACUGGGACUGAGACACGGCCCAGACUCCUACGGGAGGCAGCAGUAGGGAAUCUUCGGCAAUGGACGGAAGUCUGACCGAGCAACGCCGCGGGAGUGAAGAAGGUUUUCGGAUCGUAAAGCUCUGUUGUAAGAGAAGAACGAGUGUGAGAGUGGAAAGUUCACACUGUGACGGUAUCUUACCAGAAAGAGACGGCUAACUACGUG